UGGACAGGCCGCCAUUGGCGGUGCGCACGCGCAGUGCUGCUUUUGGGCGUCGUGAGGGAGGGAACUGGGAAGAGUGGUGCUUCGUGCGUGGCUCAGUGCCUUCUUUUCUUCUGGCGUGCCUCCCACCCGAGGUUUGGCCAGUGGAGAUGGCAGGGACCUCAGACCAGGCUGGAUGCGGCAGCCAAGCUGUGAGGAUGCAGGCAGGUACUGGAUGGGGAGCAAGGAUGGCAUCAAGGUUUCUCUUCUGCUUUGGGACCCCACCAUGUAGGUGUGAGGUCCUGUCACAGGGGAGCAUCAGCAGGGAGCUGGGUCCACCUUAGGGCUGGAAGAUUCCUCCAGCAGGCACGGUUAUCCCUGCUGCCAUUUCCUCUUCCCAUUGCAAAAAAACAUGGGAAAUCUGUGGAAUUCUGUUUGCUAUUUUAAGCAAGUUUCUCUGUCCCUCCUGAUAUCACAGCUUCCUUAUUCUCACCAGAAUAGUACAAGGAUAAUAAUUUUAAUCCUUCAUGAAAUGUUGGCAUUAAAGGCUUUGAGAUGCUGGAAAAGUGUCUGUCUGUAACAAUGGGGUUAGUGUGACUGUGAGACUCAUCCAGCCUCCAAAUAAACCUGCACAGAUUCGUGCCAUGUAUAGCUGAGACUGUCCUGAGCCAUAGAGUGCAGUCCCUGCCCUCACCAGGACCAGGCAGGCUGUUAUUCUGUGUGUUUGAUUGAAGCAAGGUGCCCUCUUGCAAAGUUUAAUACAAGGAAAACAUAAUAAUAGUCAUACCUGCAGAAGGUUAUGUAUCGUAACGCAUCCAGUGUCUUUACAGGUCAGUUUUACAACAGUUGCAUUUCUCAAUCCCUGUAAUUUAAUCUGAUGGUUAACUUCAUGACUUAGAUCUUUACUAUGUCUCUGAGCUUCUUCCUCAGAACGCUGAUGUGUAGUGACUCAAAAUGAUGGCAUUUGGUGCACGUACAUCCAGAAUCCUGUUACUGGGCAUUUAAAUACACAGGGGUUACUCGUGUCCCAUCUCUGAUACUGGUAGUGAAUGCAGUGAUUCUAGGGUCUAGGUCUAAUCUAGGGUCACUGAUAGUGUGUUACCCAAAGUCCCUGCCUUUGAAUAUGUGUCAGUGUGGAAACGAUGUAAUUCACUGAUCUGGAUGCUAAAGAAUGAUGAGUAAUUUUAGGUAUAUAAAGAAUAAUACACAUAGUCUGUCAUUAAAAUCUCUUUAUUUCACAUGUGUUGGGGAUGUCCAGGUGGCAUAGCACCUCAUACCCCCUACCACACCCCUGGUCUAAAGCCAACAGGGCUCCACUGAGCUCAACAGCCACAAUCUACGUCGUCGCUGUCCUUUGGCUCUGGACCUUGUGCCCUACAAAAACAACCUCGAUAAAACCCCAGCUAUCUAGCUGCCGGUGCCCGUGCUUUCACUUCACUUUGUGCAAAUAUUGGUUCCAAAUCACAAAGAGGAGGGGCUUGGCACGUGGGCUUGGAGCACAGUGCUCCCAAACCAGCAGUACGAGUCUCAGCAACACGAGCUUGGCAGCGCUUUCACAUUGCUCAGUUGCUAAUCUUCCAAAUUCUUUGCCUUGGGUAUAAUCCCACAAAAUAUGAUUCAAUUUGUCAACAUAGCUACCUUAUGACUAGUGUGUGUUUAGCUGGUCAGCCCAUUUUGUACAUUCCCUAUCAAGUGGAAUAGUGUGCGACAGCAGAAGUGGUUGGAAAAAUAUUUUUCACCCCAGAUAGCUCAGAGGCUGAAACUUACUUGCUGUUUUCCACUGCCCCAGCUUGCAAGAUUACACUGUACAAUACAGUGCCUGUAGUUAAGGUGCAUUUAUAAUACUGUUUCACAUUGACUGCAUUUUUCAUUCCCUAUAAUUUACAUAGCUGAAGGUUAACUUCACAGCUUAAUUCUGUAUUAUCCCUUCUAGUUUCCUGCUUGGGACAGGAAUAAAUCUAAGCCCAUUUCUGUUUAGCAGAGCGUUCAUUUAUAGUUCAUUGUAGCAAGCUGGGCAUAUUUCACCAAGUGUCCCCAUCUCCAGCAUGUCUGGCUGGGUAAUCAGUCUCAUGUGCAUAUGGACACCGUGUGUGGCAGCAUGUUGUUGGGGCAGAGGUGGCUUUCCUUUGAGGACCUCAUAGUUUGGCCCUGUGUCCGCCCCUGAAAGAGACAAUUUGGCAGGCAGGAACAGUCUUGUGUCUUGUACCCAAGUGUCAAACUGGGCAGAGUACAAAGAAGCCAUUCCUGAAUAAUAAAUGCUUUUAAAGCACCUAUUUCUGUUCCUCAGGAUAUAGAGUUGUGGGACAUUGACUCAACUCCUAGCUCGGGUAAGCAGGGCAAGUGAAUUCAGACCAGUCUUUCAGGCUGCCCACUAACAUCUCCCAGACAUUCCUCUUUCCCCGUGGGCUCUGUGUCCUUUAUCACUCAGCUCAGAAGGGACAGCACUGUCUCCACAGCCUCACGGACCAAGAAAGACUGUGCACAAGGGCUUGUGUGGCGGUGGUAUGUUGUCUUGCCUAGCUGUGUGCCAGUAAGGUGUCUGGCCCAAAUCCAGUCUUGGCAAAGCAGCUCCUCUGAAGGGCAAGGCUUGUGCUGCAAGUGCCAUGCUCCUGGCCAAGGCCAGAGAGCCAGACCCCAGGCAGCAGCCCCUGGGCCAUGCAUUGGAAAGUCGUCGAUGCCUGUUCUGAAUGCAGCCAGUGGUGGAGUGGCCUUAGGACCUUCUCUGCCCAUCCAUUCCAAUUUGCCUUCAGGGAAGGGUGUCUAAGGGCAGGGCGAGGCAAGGCAAGGCAAAAAGUGCCCAGAGCAUCCCAGUCAGCUCUUUCUUUAGGAAGUCUCAUCAUCCUUAAUAUCCCCCACCACCACCACCUGCACUCCCCACAUCCCCAGCAAGGAUGCAGGCCCUUGGGAGCAGCGGCACCAAGAUGGCCAGGCAGUGUGAUGAUCCUGAGGAAGAGGCUCUGUGGGGCUUCUGUCAACCCACCACCACCUUCUGAGCAGUGUGAAUCGUGGCUGUCGGGCUGCAAGGAGUGAUUUUGUUUACCGUUCCUAAUAAGCCAAGUCUUGUUAUCAUGGGGUGAGCUGGAUGUGUCAUAUUGUGACGGUCAGGGACAAACAAAAAUACUGCGGCGCGGAUCUGCGCUGAGAAUAUCUGUGAAAACAAGGCUGGUGAUGAUGACUCACAUCUCUGCAAUGCCACGUUAGAUUUGCUAAAGGCAGCUGGCUCGUGGUGUAGCACGGGAAAGGCUCCGCCCCAGCCCUGCUGUGGUGGCCUGGUCUCAGCUGGCAGCAAGAAUUUACAGAAUCAAAAAUCACAGUUGAUCUCAGUAAGAUCUGCAGGGGUGAUCAAAUCUACACUGGGAGCCAUUUGUGGAAAGUGCAGAUUUUAUGGUAAUUUUUCAUGCCUGUAGACACAGAACUCAGUCCUGCACUGCGCAGAGCCUGCAGUGAAUUGAAGCGUGUGCUGCACUGUGUGGAUGUGAAUUACCAAGCUUACACUCACUGUUAGGAGAGAACUCUGCUGGGAAAACCAUCAAGAAGCACAGUUAAAACCAAGCAAGGAGAGGGGUGCAGACACAUUGAAGCCAAUCGCAGUUACUGGAACAAAACCCAUUCUGUGAGGAUGGCUUUGUAUUCAAACAGUGCAUCAGAACCAAAAGGUCUCCUGAACUCCUUGGCUGGUGAUGAACAGAGGCAGGAAAGACAGGAGACAAAGAAUAUAAGUGUUCAGACAAUACACUGAGAUGCAAGCUCUUGAUAAUUCACCCAGAUCUUGGAGAGCAUCCUUGCUGUGGCUGCAGGAGGGGAGCUGUGGCCAGCUGUUGGGACAGGUGGCCCAGCUUGUGCCUAUGGGUGGGUUGUGAUUUGGGAUAAGCACAGAGGGCAAUUCAUAUCUGCUUUGUGCAUGGAGGGUGCCUUGUUCACUGGGUAAACAAGCAUUUUUCUCUAGGAUGUUCUUAAGCACGUGCUUGUCUUUAACCCUCCCUUUCAGCAGAUGACUUAUUUCCUUCUCAGCACCCUCCACAGCUCUUCCAGAAGCUUCCAGGAUAUUUCCAGCUCAUGAAGAUUUCUGACCCUUUUCACCUUACUGUUCUUCAGUGCUUCUUCCUCUUCUUCACUCAGAGAGAUGCAGAGUCCAUCAGGAAGUGCAGGCUAUUGCCCAAUAUGUCAUCAGGACUAAGGGCAUCAUUGUGAAUAUGCUGCACAAAUCUUUGACAGGGAAGUACAAAGAGAAAGGGGAAGCACAUAAUUCACGCUGACUUUUUUUUCUGUAAGCAAACUUAGCAACUUCAAGAGCUCCUUACCUUUUGCUUCUCUUAUGUUUCUUUGCAAACCCAAACCCAUGCAGGCAAAAAUGUUGCUGUUGUUCACUUCAUCAUGUGGCAGCACUUGGGAACCAGUUGACAGUGAGUCUGGGCAAGCAACCUAGGAGACAGAUUGUCCUGGAAGCCACUGGUGAG